UCUCCGUUGGUGAACCAGCGGAGGGAUCAUUACCGAGUUUACAGCUCCCAAACCCAAUGUGAACCAUACCAAACUGUUGCCUCGGCGGGGUCACGCCCCGGGUGCGUCGCAGCCCCGGAACCAGGCGCCCGCCGGAGGGACCAACCAAACUCUUUCUGUAGUCCCCUCGCGGACGUUAUUUUUACAGCUCUGAGCAAAAAUUCAAAAUAAAUCAAAACUUUCAACAACGGAUCUCUUGGUUCUG
rnacentral:misc_RNA from 1 species